UUCAAUCCAGCUUCGAUUGACAUCAAUGGAGGCAAGAAAGGGAUGCCAAGUUUCAAUGUUUCGAUUGACUCCAGUUUUUCUAGGUUUUUUUUUUCUUCUUCUAAUGUCGUGAUUCUCCUUCGCCCAAACCUCAUUCUCUCUCCUAUUGUCUAUCAGGUAAUGAUUCACACCGGCCAUUACAUGGUUCUGCACAAAGUAUGAACCAUCUUAUUAAUGCUAUCCUGGUAAUAUCAGGCUCUUUGAUUUGCCAGAUUUGAUUUAAGUUCUAGCAACCUGAUUUGUAACACUGGUUACAGGAAAUGGGGUCAUUUCAACCCAAGUUCAUACACCUUUUGGCAUUACAAUUAUCCAAAUAAUUUUCAUUUUGGUCCCAAUUAUCUUUCAGUUAACACUGGGAAUGGUAUCGUUAAAACUCACUCAAGUUCAUUCUCCUUUUGGCACUAGAAUUAUCUACAUAAUGUGCAUUUUGGUCCGAGAUCUCUUUGAGGUACACGGCAUAGUUUGACUGGUCGUUCUUUUCUUUCUCUUUUUUUCAUUCCAUCCGAGGUGAUAUCUUCAUUUGGUAUUGGUUUACAUGGUAUACUAAUUUUCUAAUUCCUGUUGUCUAAUUUGUAAUCACUAGAAUAAGCAUAAUUCACUAAGGAAUGCUUGUCUUUUCUUUUUCCUUUCGAUUUGUAGGGCUGUCACACAGCUUUGUUAUAGGAGUGCCAUGUAAACAUGUGCCACUGGCAAUGUUAGUGAGGAUGAACGUAUAGCAGUGUUGUUCUAUCCAUAUUGAGAAAAAGAGAAAGAAACAAUUAAUAAAAUGAGAAAACCCGUUUCAAGAGCAGUUUAGUCCCCGGACUAUGUGACUUGACAUGCUUAGACAUGUGAUUAACAUUCCCCUUGUAUAUGGAAUUUUGUUUAAUUUUUUAAUCUAGGCACGUGGUCAAUAUUCAAGAGGAGACCAUUUGAGUUGGAUAUGCAGAGGAUACAUAGAAACAUGUUUACUUUUUUGGUUUUAGAGAGAGAGAGAGAGAGAGAGAGAGAGAGAGAGAGAGAGAGGCUCCUCUUCCAUUGAUUCUUUUGUCGUAUUAUUGCCUUCCUCGUUAAUAACGCAAAGAUUUGGUUCCAUGUUUAUCUAAUUGUUUAAUGUUUAUUCAAAUAAAAUAUAAAUUUAUUAAUGGCAAGCUCUGUACCUGUUCACCCUUCACAGCAUUCUUGGAGACCAGUAAUGACUUAUUUACUCUACUUAUAUGCUUUAAUAUAAUGUUGAUUUUUGAAUGUACAAGACAAAUUAACAACAGAUCUAGUCCCAAUACCAGAAAUUUUUUUAAAAAAAAAGAAUAAUGAAAUCAAUUAUGUGACAAAAUAUGAUUUCUCUUGUGUGUGUGUGUGUGUGUAUAACCAAUUUGGCUAAAAACAGGUUGUUCAGUUUUUAUUCUACAAGUGUAGGGUGCUAGCAAGGUUGGACUAGGCAUGGUUUGACCUUCUUGGCACAAUGUGGUUGCCUCAAACGCAUAUCCUAAUUCUCCUUUGACCGACAUGAUUUAAGAUACUAAAAGAAUAUAAUGUUUAGAAAAAUUUGUACAUGUAAUGUAACAUAUUUGGGCUACUUCUCAAAGUCUUGAUAAGAAGUGGAAAAAUACUUCAGUUUGAAGGGGGAAAAAAAAAAAAAUACUUCAGUUUGAAGAGGUGGAUUAGUUAUAUAUAGUUAAAUAUAUUACAUAUAUAUAUAUAUUUAUUCAAAUUGGAUGUCUUUGCUCUUUCAUUUUUCCUCCCCUACGAAGCUUUUAAGAAUUGUUCUUUCUUGUUAAAACUGCCUUCCUCAUUAAAAAUGAUUCAUGCAUGUAUCCCUGUUUACAGAUCUAUAAAAAGAUUGACAUUAGCUAUCAAAAUAAUUUUUUGCUUUUUCAAAAAUUUAUUUUACCAAAAAAUAUAUAUAUAUAUGUGAUUAGAAUUUUCAAAAGUUGAUAUGAUUGAGAAAAAUAAAUAUAUUACAAAAUCUGGAAUAACGGGAAUCUACCACUAACUUGUAUACUUUUAAUGCAUAUACAACAUUAUUACUGACAAAGAAGCUAAAAAAAAAUGCUUUUGAAAAUUUACCAGAAUUUACAAGGAUGAAGAUGGAAGCAACUGCACAAGAGGAAUAAAAAUGGAGAAACAAAAAAACAAAUAAUAGCUUCUCAAUUCCUAACCUUUUGAUUCUCUCUCUGUUGGAAUUUCUACCAUCCAAAUGACAAUGUCUAAAUUUUUGUUAUCUACCUGACUGAGCCUCAGUCUCAUCAUCUUUACUUGUAACUGCUGAGGAGUUGUUGAAAGAGGAUUGAUAAGAGAAUUUGGAAGCUGCUAAGGACACGGAACAUUCAUGGCAUAACUGUUUUUUGGUGAAUGAAAUGUUCCUGCAUUGAAGACAAUAGUAUAAGCAUGCACCAUUUGACUUGUGCAGAGCACAGCUGCAGUUGCGUUGGUAAGGCUUUCGCUCAAUCUCAAGGUCAUACAUUGAUAUGCUCCCAUCAAAGAGGCACCGUAGCAUCAUCUCUGCUGCUCCAGUGACCCUUCAAAGUUCAUUGGAGAAUGAGCCUCAGUUUCACCAUCUUUAUUCCUAACUGCUGAGGAGUUUCUGAGAAAGGAGGAUUGGUGAGAGAAUUUGGAAGCUGCUAAGGACAUGGAACAUUCAUUCUAUGACUUUUUCUUGGUGAAUGAAAUAUUCCUGCUUUGAACACAAGAGUUGGAGCAUGCACCUUUUGAGUUGUGCAGAGUACAGCUGCAGUUGCGAUGAGCCUUAGUUUCAUCAUCUUUAUUCCUAACUGAUGAGGAGUUGCUGAGAAAGGAGGAUUGAUGAGAGAAUUUGGAAGCUGUUAAGGACAUGGAACAUUCAUUCCAUGACUUCUUCUUGGCGAAUGAAAUGUUCCUGCUGCUUUGUGGACAAGAGUUCGAGCAUGCAACUUUUGACUUGUGCAGAGCUCAGCUGCAGUUGCGAUGAGCCUCAGUUUGAUCAUCUUUGUUCCUAACUGCUGAGGAGCUGCUGAGAAAGGAGGAUUGGUGGGAGAAUUUGGAAGCUGCUAAAGACAUGGAACAUUCAUUCCAUGACUUCUUCUUGGUGAAUGAAAUGUUCCUGCAGCUUUGAAGACGAGUUCGAGCAUGCAGCUUUUGAGUUGUGCAGAGCACAACUGCAGUUGCGAUGAGCCUCAGUUUCAUCAUCUUUAUUCUUGACUGCUGAGGAGCUGCUGAGAAAUAAGGAUUGAUGGGAGAAUUUGGAAGCUGCUAAAGACAUGGAACAUUCAUUCCAUGACUUCUUCUUGGUGAAUGAAAUGUUCCUGCAGCUUUGAAGACAAGAGUUCGAGCAUGCAGCUUUUGAGUUGUGCAGAGCACAGCUGCAGUUGCGAUGUAUGCAGGUAAUGGUUCAGAGCCACCGCCAUUGCAUAAUUUUGCACAAGUAUGAGCCAUUCUACCAUCCCACGCGGAGCCUCAGUUUCAUCAUCUUUAUUUCUAACUGCUGAGGAGUUCCUGAGAAAGGAGGAUUGAUGAGAGAAUUUGGAAGCUGCUAAGGACAUGGAACAUUCAUUCCAUGAUUUUUUCUUGGUGAAUGAAAUGUUCCUGCAGCUUUGAAGACAAGAGUUUAAGCAUGCAGCUUUUGACUUGUGCAUAGCACAGCUGCAGUUGCGAUGCAUGCAGGUUAUGGUUCAGACCCACCACCAUUACAUAAUUGUGCACAAGUAUGAGCCAAUGUACCCAUCCCACACAGAGCCUCAGUUUCAUCAUCUUUAUCCUUAACUGCUGGGGAGCUUCUGAGAAAGGAGGAUUGAUGAGAGAAUUUGGAAGCUGCUAAGGAGAUGGAAAAUUCAUUCCAUGACUUCUUCUUGUUGAAUGAAAUGUUCCUGCUGCUUUGAAGACAAGAGUUCAAACAUGCACCUUUUGAGUUGUGCAGAGCACAGCUGCAGUUGCGAUGGUAAGGCCUUCGCUCGAUCUCCAUGUCAUACAUUGAUAUGCUUCCCUCAAGGGCGCACCGUAACAUCAUCUCUGCUGCUGCAGUGGCCAUUCUCUCUCUCUCUUUCCCGAGUCUGUAGUGUGUGUGGAAUGUGGGUGGGUGGGUGUCGGUGUGUUGAGUGAAUUGAAGUGUUUUAAAACUUCUGCAUAUUUUUGAACUGUUUAAAUAGAGCAGGAAUGAUUAUUUGAUAGAUGGUAGUGUAGGAGGAUUCAAGGGAGAAUAUUUUUGUGAGGAGUUGAAUUCGAGAGUAGUUUGGUAGGGUUCAUCCCGAUGUAGUUUACCUUGCUAAGGGUUUAAGAAAGACGUUUUUUCCUAGGAAAGUAUCAGUGUUUUUCCUGUGAAACUUAUUAUGUUGAGAGAGAGAGAGAGAGAGAGAGAGAGAGAUGGCUUGGCUUUGGCUGGGUUGGCUCAGCUUUGUAAGUUAUUGUACAGAGGAAUAUUGUAGAGGUCGUUAAGUAAUUAUAGUGGAUCUUUGUCAAUUUUAAUGUUCUGGAAGUGGGCGUUUAUUUCAAUGCAACAAAGAAUCUGUGUUUUAUUGUCACUACCAUACAAGUAAAUGGCCCCCACCUGGACCAUAUUUCUACUUUUUUUUUUUUGCUUCUUGAUGGUGGUGAUAUAGAUACAAAUAAUUGUCCCAUGCUCAUUUGUCUAAUUCCAAACUUCAAGGUGAU